UAGUCAUAUGCUUGUCUCAAGGAUUAAGCCAUGCAUGUCUAAGUAUGAACCUUCAUACGGUGAAACUGCGAACGGCUCAUUAUCAACAGUCAUCAUUUACUUGGUCAUUGGACCCUAAAAAAGUCCUACAAGGAUACCUGUCGGUAACACCAGAGCUAAUACUUGCACGAAACUCUGUGGCUUGGCAACAAGUGCAGAGGCAUUUAUUAGAUUCCACCAACACGGCGUGUAAAAAGCGUCGGUCGGGUGAUUCAUAGUAAGCGAUUGCAUGCGAAUCGCUCUUCACAGAGCGAUGAACCAAUCAAGUUUCUGCCCUAUCAGCUUUCGUCGGUUGGGUAUUGGCCAACCGAGGCUUCCACGGGUAACGGAAGAUUAGGGUUUGACUCCGGAGAGGGGGCCUGAGAGAUGGCCACCACAUCUAAGGAAGGCAGCAGGCGCGCAAAUUACCCAAUGGCAAUUCGCCGAGGUAGCGACAAGAAAUAACUGUUGUGGGCUUCGGUCCGCGAACGGGAAUGAGGUUGUAUCCAAACCCCACACCGAGUAACAAUU
rnacentral:rRNA from 1 species